rnacentral:lncRNA from 10 species
GGCCUCCAUCUUGAAAACGGAAAAUAAAAACAGCAGACCUAUGAAGGUCGAAGGGGAAGAAAAGCUGUAUCGAUUGUUGAGAUCUGGCGACUUGUUUAAAUUUCAUCAGCCUCACUUCUAUGAACUCUCAGAGCUGAUUACCAACUCCUACCACUGUUAACCCUCAUCCAGGAACAAGCUUAUGUCUUUAACAUUCUGAGUGGGCUUCAGCAUCCUUGCAUAUGUUCAAUUCUUAAAAACCUGUUGAAAUAAAAGAUCAGGAGACAUAGGAAGGAUGCCAGAAGAGAGCGUGGCCUCACGUGUACCAGCUCUCUGCUCUCCUUUGCCUUGGGACGUUCCAUCCCUGGAAGUUUCCCUGCCCACAUCUUUGUAGAGAGUCCAUUCUCCAAGCUUCAGUGUGUCAUCUGUGAGGACCGUGACCCACCUGGUACAUCGCCUCAGGGCAUUCAUUUCAGGCUCCUUCUAAAUGGCCAAGAGACAACACCAACAUUUUUGUAAUGGCCUGCAAGGCCUUCCGAGAUCUACCUCCUGCAACUCAGCUUCUCCUGUGCUCUCCUUCUGGACUCACUCUGCCUCAGCAACACUGGUCCCUGUUGCCCCACCAAUAUGCCAGGGUCUUCCUCUGCCACCCAGGCUGGAGUGUGCAGCAGCAUGACCGUGGCUUACUGCAGCUUCAACCUCUCAGGAUUAGGUAAACCUCAGGUUCUCCUCCUGCCUUUUGCUAAGUAUAUGUCUUGAUGACAAGCCUUCUGCUGAUGAGCUGUGUUUCUGGACCGAUCAUGGUAGAAGUCAAUUAACGUGUCCCUCACUUGGGGUUUCUCAAGGCUGCACUGAUGAGGAAACUGAAACAGAAAAUCCAGAGUAAAUUCCACCAGGCCACACAGCAAGGUCUGAUAGAGCCAGGAGAGACUUUAUGAAAUCCAGACUCUCACACUAAUGCUCUAUCAGCUAGACCUCCAUGUGAGUCUCCCCAAUGUAGGUAGGAAGUGCUUUCCC